ensembl:lncRNA SATB1-AS1 SATB1 antisense RNA 1
AAUCUUCCAGAAAUUCAUGAAGAGACUUCAGGUCAGGAAAGCCUGAACUUUCUCAUCCAACACCCGUUCAAGUCGGAGGAUGCUGAUUAAUUCAUGAUGGAAAGGUAUCAAUUUCACAGCCCAGACCUCUACAUUCUUGAAAUGCUCUUCUCAUGGGAGACAUUAAAUAAGCUUUGAAUUAACUGGACUUAUCUUCCUCAGUUCUCUGUGAUGAACUUUUGUAGAGCCAUACGAAAGGAGGUUUUUAGCUCUCACCUGUGGUCUUUCUUCAUCAUGCACCUCCUAGAUUCAAAAGUUCAGCAGGGACAUGUCAAGCUAUAUAAAUAAAAACAAACUAAGAAAAAAUGUAACAUUCCAUACCUUAAAACGCAACCUUAAUAACGUGAAAGACCCUGAAGGACUUGAGACGUGAAGAUUUUCUACCACGGUCUUUGCCUGUAUUAUUUCUGACAGCUGUUCCUUUCUACUCCCUCUUGCACACAUCUUUAGUUACUCCCUGUUCUCCAUCCCUCUGAUAAAAUCUAGAGUUCCCCCCUCAAAUUAGAAAAUUAAAAAAAAUUAAAAAUCUAAAAUUAAAAUUUAAAAAAUUUUUAAAAAUCUAGAGUUUAAAAAAAAUGUUCUAUCUCAGGCUUGUGAACCAUAUUGUUAGUUCACAAUUAAGAAUGAUGUACAUCUAUUGGACAAGUUUUAAUUAAUUCUUUCCCUUGGCUGAUUAGUAAAUUUCUGCAGUGAGUACAAAUGUU